rnacentral:rRNA from 1 species
CCGGCGCACGGGUGAGUAACACGUAUCCAACCUGCCGUCUACUCUUGGACAGCCUUCUGAAAGGAAGAUUAAUACAAGAUGGCAUCAUGAGUCCGCAUGUUCACAUGAUUAAAGGUAUUCCGGUAGACGAUGGGGAUGCGUUCCAUUAGAUAGUAGGCGGGGUAACGGCCCACCUAGUCUUCGAUGGAUAGGGGUUCUGAGAGGAAGGUCCCCCACAUUGGAACUGAGACACGGUCCAAACUCCUACGGGAGGCCAGCAUG